CCGGCACGGGUGGAGUAACACGUAUGCAAUCCACCUGUAACAGGGGGAGUAACCCGGAGAAAUCGGACUAAUACCCAUAAUAUGGGCGCUCCGCAUGGAGAGCCCAUUAAAGAGAGCAAUUUUGGUUACAGACGAGCAUGCGCUCCAUUAGCCAGUUGGCGGGGUAACGGCCCACCAAAGCGACGAUGGAUAGGGGUUCUGAGAGGAAGGUCCCCCACAUUGGAACUGAGCACGGUCCAA
rnacentral:rRNA from 1 species